rnacentral:rRNA from 1 species
UACGGGGGGGGCUAGCGUUGUUCGGAAUUACUGGGCGUAAAGGGCGCGUAGGCGGAUCUUUAAGUCAGGGGUGAAAUCCCGGGGCUCAACCUCGGAACUGCCUUUGAUACAGCACGUCUCGAGUCCGGAAGAGGUGGGUGGAAUUCCUAGUGUAGAGGUGAAAUUCGUAGAUAUUAGGAAGAACACCGGUGGCGAAGGCGGCCCACUGGUCCGGUACUGACGCUGAGGUGCGAAAGCGUGGGGAGCAAACAGG